AAUAUUUGACAAUGGGCGAAAGCCUGCUCCAGCCAUCCCGCGUGUGUGAAGAAGGACUUCGGAUUGUAAUGCACUUUAAGUUGGGAGGAAGGGUUGUAGUUUAAUACUCUUCUAUUUUGACGUUCCCAACAGAAAAAGCACCGGCUAACUUCGUUCCGACAGCCGCGGUAACAAGAAGGGGGCAAGAGUUAAUCGGAAUUACUGGUCGUAAAGCGCGGGUAGGUGGUUCGUUCAGAUGGAAGUGAAAGCCCCGGGCUUAAACUGGGAAUUGCUUUCAAAACUGACGAGCUAGAGUACGGUAGAGGGUAGUGGAAUUUCCUGUGUAGCGGUGAAAUGCGUAGAUAUAGGAAGGAACAUCAGUGGCGAAGGCGACUACCUGGACUGAUACUGACACUGAGGUGCGAAAGCGUGGGGAGCAAACAGG
rnacentral:rRNA from 1 species